rnacentral:rRNA from 1 species
GAUCCUGGCUCAGGAUGAACGCUAGCUACAGGCUUAACACAUGCAAGUCGAGGGGAAACGACAUCGAAAGCUUGCUUUUGAUGGGCGUCGACCGGCGCACGGGUGAGUAACGCGUAUCCAACCCGCCCAUCACUUGGGAAUAACCUUGCGAAAGUAAGACUAAUGCCCAAUGACAUCCCACGAAGGCAUCCGAAUGGGAUUAAAGAUUUAUCGGUGAUGGAUGGGGAUGCGUCUGAUUAG